rnacentral:lncRNA from 1 species
ACUGAGAAGUGAGUUUGUGGAAUAAAUCAGAGAUUGAUUUAUGAAUUAUUGAUUAUGUAAUUGGAGUACUUAGUGAUUGAAUUAUAUGAAAAGUUAUUGGAAGAUUGAUUAUGGAUGGAAGAUUAUGAUUGUUGUUUAUUGAGAGUUGUGUAUGUCUGUUUCGACAAAAGAAGUCUGUGAUUAAAGGAAUUCUGUGAAUUCAGAUUGGUUGGAGUGGAGUUUGUUAUUCCUGAUGUUGGAUAGAAUUUCUUGAGUUUUGAGCGGUCUUUUGAGAGUGUAGGAUUGGACAUUGUGGUUAUCAGUUAAUGAAGGAGUAUUAUUAGUGAAAAGAAGCAUUGUAAUAUUUCUUAGUAUUUUAGUGGUUUAGAAUACAGUUAAUUGUGUGACUCUAACAAGUGAAAUUUAUGCGCUUAGUCUUUCCCUGUGUUUGAAUUCUCCUAUAUAGGUUUAUUCUGAAAGGAAUUGU